GGGGAUGAAAGGUUUCGACGGGGCAGGAGGCUCUGUAAUUGCAAGCCGUAGAGCGUCGGCUACGCUAAAAAGGCGCAAACACUAUAAAUGCCAACAACACUGGCAAGGUCUUCAACUUCGGUUUUGCAUCCGCCGCUCCGGCGAUGGCUGCCGCCUAAGUUAGACCAACCCUGAUCCCGUAAGACGGAUCACGGCCCAUUCUCAUGGCACCGGCAGGUGAGGAUGAAGCCGACAUAAUCUGUAGGUUGCGGUAGCCUAACGCCGAUGUGGCUGCCUAAGACUAUCGGCUAGCUGGUUUCCAAACCCUACGUCAUCGUGGGUUUUACUGGCGAACCUCUCAAACAGAUGACUAAGCUUGUAGACGUUGCAGCGCAAAUGUUUCGGACGCGGGUUCAAUUCCCGCCAUCUCCACUG
rnacentral:tmRNA from 1 species